AAUGAACGCUGGCGGCGUGGAUAAGACAUGCAAGUCGAACGAGGAGCAAUUAAGCUUGCUUUUGAGCUCCUAGUGGCGGACGGGUUAGUAACACGUGAGUAACUUGCCUCGGAGUGGGGGAUAGUCCCGGGAAACUGGGUUUAAUACCGCAUAUGCUCUACGGAGUAAAGAGGGCUUCGGCUCUCGCUUUGAGAUAGGCUCGCGUCCUAUCAGCUUGUUGGUGAGGUAACGGCUCACCAAGGCGACGACGGGUAGUUGGUCUGAGAGGACGACCAGCAACACUGGAACUGAGACACGGUCCAGACACCUACGGGUGGCAGCAGUCGAGAAUCAUUCACAAUGGGGGCAACCCUGAUGGUGCAACGCCGCGUGGAGGAUGAAGGCCCUAGGGUCGUAAACUCCUGUCAUAAUAGAGUAAGGCAUGGUCGUUAAAAGCUUCCAUGUUUGAUAGUAUAUUAAG
rnacentral:rRNA from 1 species